AUUGAACGCUGGCGGCAGGCCUAACACAUGCAAGUCGAGCGAGCGGCGGACGGGUGAGUAAUGUAUGGGGACUGCCCGCUAGAGGGGGAUAACUACUGGAAACGGUGGCUAAUCCCGCAUACUAUCGGAUAACCCAUAUGGGAGUAGCUAGUAGGUGGGGUAAAGGCUCACCUAGGCCACGUUCUCUAGCUGGUCUGAGAGGAUGAACAGCCACACUGGGACGGAGAGACGGCCCAGACUCCUACGGAGGCACCAGUGGGGAACAUUGCACAAUGGGCGCAAGCCUGAUGCAGCCAUGCCGCGUGUAUGAAGAAUGCCUUAGGGUUGUAAAGUACUGGCAGCGGCGAGGCGUUACCCGCAGAAGAAGCACCGGCUAACUCCGUGCCAGCAGCCGCGGUAAUUC
rnacentral:rRNA from 1 species